UGUAAUACUCCCUAUUGGGCAUUAAAGCUC
rnacentral:piRNA from 1 species